GUAGGGAAUAUUGGUCAAUGGACGAAAGUCUGAACCAGCCAUUCCGCGUGCAGGAAGAAGAUUCUAUGGAUUGUAAACUGCUUUUAGCAGAGAAGAAACGCCUUCAUUGAUGAGGGUUUGACGGUAUCUGCGGAAUAAGCACCGGCUAACUCCGUGCCAGCAGCCGCGGUAAUACGGGGGGUGCAAGCGUUAUCCGGAAUCACUGGGUUUAAAGGGUGCGUAGGCGGGCAAUUAAGUCAGUGGUGAAAGUCUGUUGCUUAACGAUAGAAAUGCCGGUGGUACUGAUUUUCUUGAAUGGGGUUGAGGUUAGCGGAAUGUGACAGGUAGCGGUGAAAUGCAUAGAUAUGUCAUGGAACACCAAUUGCGAAGGCAGCUAGCUGGGCCUGGAUUGACGCUGAGGCACGAAAGCGUGGGUAGCAAACAGGAUUAGAUACCCGUGUAGUCC
rnacentral:rRNA from 1 species